UGCUGAGGAUAAAAAAAACAUAUGCUUGGGGAGAUUUUCUUUCUUUCUGAAAUGCAAACUCUAUGAAGUGAUUAGCCCAUAUCUUUGCCAAAAUUAAAACUUCCUCUAAUGUCAAGAUGUAUAUUUGAGAUGAUGUAUCAUGCCCAAUACUGGACAUACCAAAUUAUAUUAGAAUUUGCUUAUAUUUUAAUAUCCUUAGGUAAUUUCCACUCUUGUCUGGGUUAUUAAUAUGAAAGAUUAAGAUAGCUACACUACUAUCUCAGGUAAGGAGAGCUUAGAUUAUAAUGUUUCUUGACAAUUAUGCUAUGUAAAUAACCAGUAUCUCUAUAAUAAGGAACUGUCAUUUAAAAUUCUCUCUGUUGUUACUGUCAUUCUAUCUUAGACAUCUGCUUCCCAAUGUGUUAACACAUAAGUUUGAGAGCCACUGAAGAAUAGAAACAAGAAAGCCUAUGUGGCAGAGGAGAGUCAAAGAUCCUCUUUCAAGUUUCAAAGAAAGGUAGUUUUUUGAUGUUUUGGGGCUGUUUAACUGGCUUGGUACUUGGACAUCCGGAAUACAAUUACCCUUGCUACAUGAAACAAAAACUGAAGAUCCAUGGAUAAAAUAAUGACACAGAAGUGCGAAGAAUCACUGUUAAGUUAUGAAGUAUUCAUCAGAGGCUUCUUUAGUCAAAAAGUUCAUUAGAGCACCAUAAUGAAUUGUAAUUUAAGCACAAACUUGGAAAUAGCUUUGUAUGGCAGAGUUCAAGGAACUUUUACUGUGCCUCAUUUUCUGUACUUGUAAAACAAUGAAAUUUUUGGGAGUCUAUAUGUAGUUUAUAAAAGAACUUAGAAAAAGUGA